rnacentral:rRNA from 1 species
AUUGAACGCUGGCGGCAGGCCUAACACAUGCAAGUCGAGCGAGCGGCGCACGGGGGUGUAAUGUCUGGGAAACUGCCUGCUGGAGGGGGAUAACUACUGGAAACGGUAGCUAAUAUCGCAUACCAUCAGAUGUGCCCAGAUGGGAUUAGCUAGUAGGUGGGGUAACGGCUCACCCAGGCGACGAUCCCUAGCUGGUCUGAGAGGAUGACCAGCCACACUGGAACUGAGACACGGUCCAGACUCCUACGGGAGGCAGCAGUGGGGAAUAUUGGACAAUGGGCGCAAGCCUGAUGCAGCCAUGCCGCGUGUGUGAAGAAGGCCUUCGGGUUGUAAAGCACUUUCAGCGGGGAAGCGGUACCCGCAGAAGAAGCACCGGCUAACUCCGUGCCAGCAGCCGCGGUAAUUC